AAAGAAAGGAACGAAUAUAAACUUGCCCUUAUUUUAUCAAAACAACUGUGAAAGAAAGCUAAAAUAAUACGCAAAGACAACUACAAAGAAAAAAGAAGGAAAAACCAACAACUGCCAGCCAGUCAAGCCUGCUUCCUGAGAUGGAACCUAUACACUGCUCGGAUGACCAAGAACCUGAGACUGGAAAGCCCAGGGAUCUAGGCUCUACCUUGAACUCCCAACAACAUGUGAAUCUGAGAAGUGAACUUUGCAGCAAAUGAACUUUUGAGGGACAUACUCCAGCCACAGCAGCAGCAUUCCAGAAAAGAACCACACAACUAGAACCUCAGCAAAACGCACACUAUGGAAAAAUGUCCUAAACGUGCCAUAAUUCAUUUCAAAUCUGUGCUUGCUCAUCAGCCUCUUCUGGUUCCUUCCAGGUCCUGACUGUGAGGUCAUGAACCCUGUUACUGAAACCAUGGGUCUGCUCCUGAGAUGCUAUGUCUGAAGUGUGAGCAACUGAGUCCUUCACUUCCCCCCUCUGUGACCCUCAACCCAGGUAGAAGAUAAGAAUGAGCAGAGCUGGGCCGAACCUCUGAGAGACACAGAGACCCUUCCACAGACUUCUGCCUCCUGGGAACCUUCCAUUCUCUGGAAUUGGGGAGGGAAAACAAACACAGGGAUAAUUAAGACGACUUCCUGAAGUCAAGGGAUUUCUAGGACAGGCAUCCUGUCUUUGCAUGAAAACUAAUCAUAGUAGCACCCCCCCCAACAACAUGUGAGUACCCGUCCCUGUAGACAUUUUGAUGUGUUGUCACUUGAUCAUUUAUUGCUUCUUCUGUUUGACAUGAAUUUUCAUGCAGCUUUUUCCCAUCUACUCUGUAACACAAACAUUUCCCAUGUCAUCAUAAAUAUUUUAAUGAAUCACAUAUUUGAACAACAAGACAUGCUGAGAUUAGGAAAACA